UCUAUUGUAGGUUAAGUUAAGACUGUAAGUUUGUGGUGCUUAGGGGUCUGCUUGUUGCAGCUUUGGAU
rnacentral:tRNA from 1 species